rnacentral:rRNA from 2 species
CGACUGCUAAGACUGGAUAGGAGACAAGAGGGCAUCUUCUUGUUUUUAAAAGACCUAGCAAUAGGUAUGCUUAGGGAGGAGCUUGCGUCACAUUAGUUAGUUGGUGGGGUAAAGGCCUACCAAGACUAUGAUGUGUAGCCGGGCUGAGAGGUUGAACGGCCACAUUGGGACUGAGACACGGCCCAAACUCCUACGGGAGGCAGCAGUAGGGAAUUUUCGGCAAUGGAGGAAACUCUGACCGAGCAACGCCGCGUGAACGAUGAAGUAUUUCGGUACGUAAAGUUCUUUUAUUAGGGAAGGAAUAAAUGAUGGAAAAAUCAUUGCUGACGGUACCUAAUGAAUAAGCCCCGGCUAACUAUGUGCCAGCAGCCGCGGUAAUACAUAGGGGGCAAGCGUUAUCCGGAAUUAUUGGGCGUAAAGGGUGCGUAGGCGGUUAAAUAAGUUUAUGGUCUAAGUGCAAUGCUCAACAUUGUGAUGCUAUAAAAACUGUUUAGCUAGAGUAAGAUAGAGGCAAGUGGAAUUCCAUGUGUAGUGGUAAAAUGCGUAAAUAUAUGGAGGAACACCAGUAGCGAAGGCGGCUUGCUGGGUCUUUACUGACGCUGAGGCACGAAAGCGUGGGGAGCAAACAGGAUUAGAUACCCUGGUAGUCCACGCCGUAAACGAUGAGUACUAAACGUUGGGUAAAACCAGUGUUGAAGUUAACACAUUAAGUACUCCGCCUGAGUAGUACGUACGCAAGUAUUAAACUUAAAGGAAUUGACGGGACUCCGCACAAGCGGUGGAUCAUGUUGUUUAAUUCGAAGGUACCCGAAAAACCUCACCAGGUCUUGACAUGCUUCUGCAAAGCUGUAGAAACACAGUGGAGGUUAUCAGUUGCACAGGUGGUGCAUGGUUGUCGUCAGCUCGUGUCGUGAGAUGUUGGGUUAAGUCCCGCAACGAGCGCAACCCUUAUUGUUAGUUACCAGCACGUAAUGGUGGGGACUUUAGCAAGACUGCCAGUGAUAAAUUGGAGGAAGGUGGGACGACGUCAAAUCAUCAUGCCCCUUAUGACCUGGGCUACAAACGUGAUACAAUGGCUGUUACAAAGGGUAGCUGAAGCGCAAGUUUUUGGCGAAUCUCAAAAAAACAGUCUCAGUUCGGAUUGAAGUCUGCAACUCGACUUCAUGAAGUUGGAAUCGCUAGUAAUCGCGAAUCAGCAUGUCGCGGUGAAUACGUUCUCGGGGUUUGUACACACCGCCCGUCAAU